AGCACUCCAAUUUAUGAUAUUGCUGGUACUUCACAAAGUAGAUUUGUACCUCAUGAUUCAUCAGCUGCACAUAUACCUCAGUAUGGUAUGCGGUUGAAUUCUUUUCCGGGACAAACUGCUCCAGGGCAGCACACCUUGAGACCGGUCAAACCGGUUCAGGUCUUGUUGUGGCAUACCAGUCAUCUCCUAUCUCCUGAGCCAAUAGCCAGUAUACCUCCUAUUCAGGCUGAUUGUAGCCUAAGUAACGGAGUUUCUAGUUAUUAUGUUUCUCCAAAUACUAUUAUACCAUAUAAUAUAAAUCCUACACCUCCC
rnacentral:lncRNA from 1 species